UAAGGAAUAUUGCGCAAUGGGCGAAAGCCUGACGCAGCGACGCCGCGUGGGGGAUGAAGGUCUUCGGAUUGUAAACCCCUUUCGGGAGGGAAGAUGGAAUGGGGUAACCCAUUCGGACGGUACCUCCAGAAGCAGCCACGGCUAACUUCGUGCCAGCAGCCGCGGUAAUACGAAGGUGGCAAGCGUUAUUCGGAUUUACUGGGCGUACAGGGAGCGUAGGCGGUUCGGUAAGCCCUUUGUGAAAUCUCCAGGCUUAACCUGGAACAGUCGGAGGGGACUGCCGGGCUAGAGGACGGGAGAGGAGCGCGGAAUUCCCGGUGUAGCGGUGAAAUGCGUAGAGAUCGGGAGGAAGGCCGGUGGCGAAGGCGGCGCUCUGGAACGUUUCUGACGCUGAGGCUCGAAAGCGUGGGGAGCAAACAGGAUUAGAUACCCCCGUAGUCCCUGAGCGGGCUGGCAAGGCGCAU
rnacentral:rRNA from 1 species